rnacentral:lncRNA from 1 species
UAAACAUUCAUACAUCCAUUCAAUGCAUUAUUCCCCUUUUUAUCAAAUAUAUCAAUGUUUCAUCAAUUUUCAUACAAUGAACAUUCAAAUCAUAUUCACAUCAAUAACAUACAUUUCAAGCAUUUAAGAAUAUAAUUCAAGUUACAUGAACUUACCAGACUAAAUUGCAGAAAUACCAAAAAUUCAGGGACAUUUUGGUAAUUUUCUAUUUUCCUCAAAUUUCCACCCAAUCAUGAUCUAAAUUAAUAUUUCAUUCAAUUUAUUAAUUUAAAUAAUAAAACAAUUCAUUUUAUGCAAUUUGGUCACUUUUUGACAUUUUUACCAAUUUACCCUUGAAAUAUUACUUUUAUUCAAUUUAGUCCUUGAACCUAAAACAUGCAAAUUGGCCAUUUUUAAUGAAAACUCA